rnacentral:rRNA from 1 species
UACGAAGGGGGCUAGCGUUGCUCGGAAUCACUGGGCGUAAAGCGCACGUAGGCGGACUCUUAAGUCGGCGGUGAAAUCCUGGAGCUCAACUCCAGAACUGCCUUCGAUACUGGGAGUCUCGAGUCCGGGAGAGGUGAGUGGAACUGCGAGUGUAGAGGUGAAAUUCGUAGAUAUUCGCAAGAACACCAGUGGCGAAGGCGGCUCACUGGCCCGAUACUGACGCUGAGGCACGAAAGCGUGGGGAGCAAACAGGG